ensembl:lncRNA
GGAUGGAGUCUUUUCAUUUCAGUUAAAUUGGGUAUGCAGGAGGAUGGAAAUUAGGGGGUAUUUAAAGGGUUUCCGAAGGAAAGGGAAAGGAAGGGAUAGGAAACAUUUUAAUGGUGUAGAAAGCCCUGUAUACUAAAAAAUCCUAAUGAGAAAUGAUCACCCUCAUUAGAAAUUGACAGAACAGGGGGAUUUCAUUAUAAAAUUAAUGAGAAACAGCAUUCUCUAUCCAAGUUGUACCAUUACUUUAGGAGAUUGUUCUAAGUUGAUUGGUUAUUCGAAUUGUUUUAUUUUUGAUUUAACAUGUUUUUUUUAAUCACGUUUGAAAGGGGAAAAUGACCAGUUCCCUGAGGUCCUGGUCUUUGGGUACUUAUACAGUGGUACUGUGUUCAGGCUGCAUAUAGAAAGAAAAUUAUAUGUUAAUAAGGGAUGGCAGUUACAUCAAAUGGAUUGUGAUAUAGGUAUUGCUGAUUUCAUGUUGUGUUUUUGUUUUGAUACAAAUAUCACCAGAUUGGGAUCCUGGAGUGGGAAUUCUGUGAGGGGUUAGGGUGCUAUCUUCAUGAUCUGGUAACUCUUCCUAGAGAUCACCAGUAGAAUAAGGGAGUAUGGAGUAAUUUAGAAAAUAGUUUUAGCAGUAACAUUAUGUUGUGCUUUUUUAGAGAUGUUAUUAAGAAAAGGUUAAUGUCAUAAUUCGUCAUAUAGUCAAUGUUUGUCUGGUUUCCUGAAACAGAAAUGUACUGAACUUGACUGUUGUGAUCUGUGCUUUUUUUGAGGUUAUCAUGGAAGGUGACGUCAGAUCGUGUCUUAAUGCAUGGUAGAAUAAUUUGACCAUAGACAGUGUGUGUAGACCUCAAAACCCUCCCUAAUCGGCUGAAGAAAGAGCGACAAAGGCGUGCAAUGAGAGACAGUGACUUUUACCACUCCUAUCUGAGUCCGAGCCAUAAACCAGGGCCAGGGUGCUGAGAGCGCGUGUGGAGUGAGCGUGGAGAGAGAGAACAAGCUCAGGUGAAAGCAGAGAUAUAACCAAUGGCACAGGCUGAACACUGGAGAAUGAGUGUACAUCAAGAGACACCAGGCCGGGGAGUUGGGACAGCGUUGGUUUUGGACACACACUACUCCGUACAGUACCUGCAGUGGUAAAGAUUGUUAUGUGUCUCGUCAUGUGAAGUGAGGUUCAACUGCAUAAUGGGUGAGUGAAAAUACCAUGAUAGAGGAAGCGGAGCGAGAGAGACUAGAUUCCAUUGUAAGACAUACAGAUGGGUUGAGUCUGGGAGCUACUUUACACAUCAUAGUUGGGUUGGGUUAGAUGUUUUAUUGGUUAAUGCAUCAUAUGAUAGAGUCGUAAUUGUACUCUGAACAAAAUGUUGAAGGCAUUGAUGUGAAAGCAGAUACAGUGCUGAGUUACCUCAAGAGGAUGUAAUGUUGAUUAGGGAUACACACUUGCAUAUCAGGUGACGUGCCUAUCAGGUGAAAUGGAGGAGAUGGGGAACAAAGUGAAAAUGACAUGACUUGGGAACACCUCUCGGAACCGGGGGCCGAAAGGGGUAGACUGGGCGUAAGCAUGAGGAAGCUUUUUAGAGCUUUCAUUUUUGUGGAACUCUGCAGGAAAGUAUCUGGGAGGCAUAGAGUCGGGUGAAGAGAGAGUGGGAAUUGUCAGGGUCUCAGACUUUGGUUUUCAAGCAUAUAUAAUUAUGCAUAGCUUAUCACAUUGUUAAUACUGUUAUGUUUUGUGUGCCUUUUUGUUGCUUUCCAAGUCUUGUGCUCUGACUCUCUUAGGAACCAGACGGGGGAAGUAGAGAAUCUAAAAGCUGCUCCAUAUGACAUAUAACAAGACCGCAGAUUCAACUGGAAUGGAAUUUUGUUAUGUGUGAAAGAUGGAAAUAAAAGAUAGAUGGAAAUAAGAGGCCAUAAGUCUGAACUUGUAAACCUUGCGGUGAAUGUUUGUUCAUUGUUUGUUCCAUUUGUUUGUUUAAUUCAUGUUUUAUUGACAUUUUUUAUCCAUUUAUUAGUCAUUUCCAAGUUUAUAUAAAUGGCGUGGCUUUGGAAUAUGUUGGGGGAUGGGAGGAGAGCACUGUGUUGAUACAGGAAAGACAGAUGGACAUCUGUGGAUUAGGUUGAGGUCAGGAGGUGAGGUCAGAUCCCCUUAAGGGAGUAAUAAGGGUUAGGUAUCCUGUUAACCUUUUCCUGUUGAACCAUAAAAUAUAAGGAUUGGAGAGAAGGAGGAGUGUCUUAAGUGGCAUGUAUAUAACUGUGAUGGUGAGAAAUGUUUUGCUGUCUGAAUUACAGCUGUACAGAACCUUUGGGCAGAAUUCAACUUGGCUAAAGCUUCUCUAGUGUCCGUGAGUUAUUGACUCUGAAAAAUAAGAACCUAACACAUGAAACAUCAAUGCUUAUCUGUAUUUUGCACAUAUUCAUCCUCAUGAGGACCCUGGUCCUGAUCUGCCUCAGAGGACUGGACAACUAGACAAGCUGAUCUGCAUGGUUUACCAACAUUGGAUUAAAACAAGCUUAUAUAUUGGGUUCUGAUGGGGUACAGCAGUUGAACUAAGCUCAUGAGGAAUUUAUAAACACAUAUAAUUCAUAAGUUUUAAAAAAACAAUGUAACAACUAAGGAUUCUAGCUUGUAAAUAGAAACAUUGAUGGUGUACCUUGAGUUAAAUCCUUCACUUUCUAGGGAGGAAUUUGAACCUCCCCUUGCCUUCUUUCACAGCCUCAACCUGAGGAGGACUGGUAUCAUUAUGGGCCUUAUUGACAGAGAUGUUGGCUCCAACUCAUCUUUUCAGGUCUGCUGAUUUGAGGGAGGACUUGACACUAAAUAAUAUAUAUUUUUAAAGCCUGUGCACAAUAAUUUUGGAUGUAAUAAACUACUUUAAUGCAAAAAUAUUUUAAACACAUCUACAAAUAUAUUUGUUGUCGGCCUAAACAUUAUAGUUAUUGCACAAUGUCAAAAACCAAGUAAACAUGUUUUAAAGCCUG